rnacentral:lncRNA from 1 species
GUUCAUCGUUCUUCGUUCAUCGUUAUUCAUUUUUCAGUGAUUUUUUCUUGUUUUUCUUCGAUUCUUCUUCUUAUUCUUUGAGUUUUUUUCUUAUCCUUCAAUUCUUCUUUUUCUUGUUCUUCGAUUCUCCUUCAUUUUUUUCUUCUUCUUCAAUUUUUUUAUUCUUCUUUGAUUUUUUUUCUUCUUUUUUUUUCAAUUCUUCUUCGAUUCCUCUUUUUCUUCUUCUUUGAUUCUUCAAUUUUCUUCUUCGACUUUUCUUUUCUCUUCUUUGAUUCUUAUUUUUUGAUUCUUUUUGUUUUUGUAUGUGUUGUUAAACUAACGUCGAAUUUGAAUCCCGUUAAACAUGUGUCGUUAAGCAUACAGUUUCUUGUAGUGAAUAGCUCUUCUAGAGCUAGAGAUAAAUUUUGUACUAAUCAAUAUGUGUUGCAUUACAUAUAAGGCUUAUAUCACCAUGUAUUAUGUUGAUUGUCA